rnacentral:rRNA from 1 species
UGCAAGUCGAACGAAUCCUUCGGGAUGAGUGGCAGACGGGUGAGUAACACGUGGGAACGUGCCCUCCGGUCUGGGAUAACCCUGGGAAACUAGGGCUAAUACCGGAUACGUGCUUUGGCAGAAAGGUUUACUGCCGGAGGAUCGGCCCGCGUCUGAUUAGCUAGUUGGUGGGGUAACGGCCUACCAAGGCGACGAUCAGUAGCUGGUCUGAGAGGAUGAUCAGCCACACUGGGACUGAGACACGGCCCAGACUCCUACGGGAGGCAGCAGUGGGGAAUAUUGGACAAUGGGCGCAAGCCUGAUCCAGCCAUGCCGCGUGAGUGAUGACGGCCUUAGGGUUGUAAAGCUCUUUUCUCCGGGACGAUAAUGACGGUACCGGAGGAAUAAGCCCCGGCUAACUUCGUGCCAGCAGCCGCGGUAAUACGAAGGGGGCUAGCGUUGCUCGGAAUCACUGGGCGUAAAGGGCGCGUAGGCGGCGUUUUAAGUCGGGGGUGAAAGCCUGUGGCUCAACCACAGAAUGGCCUUCGAUACUGGGACGCUUGAGUAUGGUAGAGGUUGGUGGAACUGCGAGUGUAGAGGUGAAAUUCGUAGAUAUUCGCAAGAACACCGGUGGCGAAGGCGGCCAACUGGACCAUUACU